rnacentral:rRNA from 1 species
AUGCGCGGUAGAGGAGCGUUCCGUAAGCCGUUGAAGGUGGAUUGAGAAGUCUGCUGGAGGUAUCGGAAGUGCGAAUGCUGACAUGAGUAACGAUAAUGCGGGUGAAAAACCCGCACGCCGAAAGCCCAAGGUUUCCUUGCGCAACGUUAAUCGGCGCAGGGUGAGUCGGCCCCUAAGGCGAGGACGAAAGUCGUAGUCGAUGGGAAGCAGGUUAAUAUUCCUGCACGACUUGUAAUUGCGAUGGGGGGACGGAGAAGGCUAGGUGGGCCAGGCGACGGUUGUCCUGGUGAAAGUGCGUAGGUGGUGUUUCUAGGCAAAUCCGGAGACACAACACUGAGACACGAGACGAACGCACCACGGUGCGGAAGCCAUUGAUGCCCUGCUUCCAGGAAAAGCCUCUAAGCUUCAGAUUACAAGUCAUCGUACCCCAAACCGACACAGGUGG